GCGACCCCAGGUCAGCCGGGAUCACCCGCUGAGUUUAAGCAUAUCAAUAA
rnacentral:rRNA from 1 species